AUUGAACGCUGGCGGCAUGCCUUACACAUGCAAGUCGAACGGCAGCACGGGAGCAAUCCUGGUGGCGAGUGGCGAACGGGUGAGUAAUGUAUCGGAACGUACCUUUCAGUGGGGGAGUAACGUAGCGAAGUUAACGCUAAUACCGCAUAUUCUGUGAGCAGGAAAGCAGGGGAGUCGCAAGACCUUGCGCUGAUUGAGCGGCCGAUAUCAGAUUAGCUAGUUGGUGAGGUAAAGGCUCACCAAGGCGACGAUCUGUAGCGGGUCUGAGAGGAUGAUCCGCCACACUGGAACUGAGACACGGUCCAGACUCCUACGGGAGGCAGCAGUGGGGAAUUUUGGACAAUGGGCGGCAAGCCUGAUCCAGCCAUGCCGCGUGAGUGAAGAAGGCC
rnacentral:rRNA from 1 species